CUUCAAAACCACGAGUCCAUGGAGUUUCGUGAAACGUUUGUCACUCACGAUGCUACUGCGCAAUCGUAGUCACUGAUAACGAGAAAUAAGAUUUACCAGCUUCGAAUGUUCAGUGUAAACUGGAUCGACCGGUCACAUUGCCAUUGUGAGAGAUCUUCGUGCAAUUUUUUAACCAUUGCGAUAUUCCUCUUAUUGUAUCGGAACACGAAGGGAGAGGAAUACCGGAAAUUGAUCGGUGGAUGCCCAGAUCCUGAACCGACUGGUCGAGGAAUUAUUCGUGGAAACGGAUGAGAGAUUCGUGAUUUGGAGAGAUAGUUAACGGUAUUUCAAAGAAAUGACGACCGUUUUAGCUACGUUCUCGGUCCUCAAGGACCAUGUCAAGUGGAAGGUUUCGCAGGACUCUGUCGCCAUUGAUAACUUGGUUUUCAAGAUGCACUAUAGAUUCACGUUUCUGAUACUCUUGAUCGCUACGCUAUUGGUAACAGCCAGACAAUUUAUCGGAGAACAUAUCAGGUGUAUCGCUGGCCACGGAAUGAGCGAUGACGUAGUGAAAGUAAUCAACACUUUCUGCUUUUUCACGUCUACUUACACUGUGACAAAACACUUGAACAAAACAUCGGUAGAGUUGGGUCAGAUCGCGCAUCCUGGCGUGGGACCAGCAACUUCAGAAGACUCCGUGGUACAUCAUGCCUACUACCAGUGGGUGCCCUUCGUUCUGUUUUUUCAGGCGAUCUUCUUUUACGCGCCUCACUACCUGUGGAGGAAUGUUGAAGGAGGCCGUUUAAAGGCAUUGGUUAGCGGAUUGCAUACAGCGUCAAUGGCUCUUCGUGAAACAUCUCUGAAGACCGAGAAUGGUAUAAGCAUCAUGUCGAAAGAUGAAUGCGACGAGAAAAUACAUCAAAUUCGCUAUGCUUUUCUGAAUCGUAUUCACUUGAAUCGACCGUGGGCGUAUUAUUUGGGUCUAUGCGAAGUUCUCAAUUUCAUUAACGUUCUUUUGCAAAUAUAUCUGACCGACUGGUUUCUCGGAGGCGCUUUUCUCGGUCUUGGACAAAUGUUGGCACAAUAUGGAUCCGAAGAAGGUCAAGUCGAACCUCUUGAUAUCGUGUUUCCUAAGGUGACUAAAUGUAUCUUUCACAAAUACGGUCCAUCAGGAACUAUACAAAACCACGAUGCUCUAUGCAUCAUGGCAUUGAACAUCAUUAACGAGAAGAUCUAUGUAUUCCUUUGGUAUUGGUACAUUAUUCUCUCGGUGAUAACCGGUUUAGGAUUGCUUUGGAGGUUACUUACUAUGGUGUUGCAUGCCAGAAGUGAACUAUUCAACAAGAUAGUGUUCUCCAUGGCUUGUCCUGGGAAAUACAAUCCGUGGAAUGUGCUGGCCGUCACUCAUGAGUGCCACUAUGGGGAUUGGGUAUUUCUUUAUUAUAUAGCGAAGAAUCUGGACAACUAUAUAUUCAAAGAAUUCUUGGUGAAACUUGCCGGUGAUCUGGAUGAAAGACGUCAAAAUAUAUACAAUAUAUCCAACGAAGAGAAACCGUUAAACGAUAAAGGGAGUCAAUUUUAAUUAUCUAUGCAUAAUGAACGUCCAGAGAUUCAGAGACCACGUGUGCAUGGAUAAUGAGGUUAACGUGCACUCAUCGAGUAAGGUAUUUACACAUCGGACCGACUCGGAUACAACGUGAUCAAGUGUGUCCUUAUAAGUCCCAGUCUUUUCCUUCUUUCUAUCUACCAACAUGGAUAAUUAUUCAACGUAUCCUUGGUUGACCAGUAAUUUUCACUUGCUUUAUUUAGACAACAAUUUUAUAACUAGUGAAUUUGCAAUUGCUAUCAUUGUCGCAUUAUAUUAUACAUUGAUGGAAAAGAGGACGAAUGAAAAUCCUAUUCUAAUUCGAAGAACAAAGAAAUCCAUAAAAACAAGCUCUCGAUCGCACGAAGAAUUACAAGGACCAGACUGCGAGCAGAGUCGACAUACAUUCAUCACAAUUGACACGAUUGACCUACAGCGGUUCUCAACCCAAUGGAGUCUCGUGAAAACCGGUUUGACAGGGUUCAAGAAUACAAACGAUAUCGGUGCUCUGCUCGCUUCUUCUCGUGAAAGUACAGUGACAGACGUUAAGAGGAGCUCCAAGGAAAAAUUUAAUAAUAUAUAUUAGAAUUCAAGGAAAGAAUUUAUUGUAUUAUAAAUCAUUGUAACAAAAUUUUGAAUUCUAAUGGACAUAUCGUAGAUUAUCAUA